rnacentral:misc_RNA from 1 species
GAUGAAGAACGUAGCGAAAUGCGAUGAGUAGUGUGAAUUGCAGAAUUCAGUGAAUCAUCGAAUCUUUGAACGCACAUUGCGCCCUUUGGUAUUCCUUAGGGCAUGCCUGUUCGAGCGUCAUUUAAACUUUCAAGCUAAGCUUGGUGUUGGGUGACUGUCCGCUUCACUGCGGACUCGCCUCAAAAUUAUUGGCGGCCGGUACAUUGGCUUCGAGCGCAGCAGAAACGCGAACUCGGGCCCGUCGUAUUGGCUCCCAGAAGCUAUCUUCACAAUUUUGACCUCGGAUCAGGUAGGGAUACCCGCUGAACUUAAGCAUAUCAAUAAGCGGAGGA